GUGUUUGCUUCAGCAGCACAUAGACUAAAAUUGGAAUGAUACAGAGAAGAUCAGCAUGGCCCCCGCGCAAGGAUGACACGCAAAUUCAUGAAGCGUUCCAUAUUUUU
rnacentral:snRNA from 1 species